AGCAGUCGCCGCGGAAUACGUAGGGUGCAAGCGUUAAUCGGAAUUACUGGGCGUAAAGCGUGCGCAGGCGGUUAUGCAAGACAGAUGUGAAAUCCCCGGGCUCAACCUGGGAACUGCAUUUGUGACUGCAUGACUAGAGUACGGCAGAGGGGGAUGGAAUUCCGCGUGUAGCAGUGAAAUGCGUAGAUAUGCGGAGGAACACCGAUGGCGAAGGCAAUCCCCUGGGCCUGUACUGACGCUCAUGCACGAAAGCGUGGGGAGCAAACAGGAUUAGAGACCCGAGUAGUCCCUGUCUCUUAUACA
rnacentral:rRNA from 1 species